GACGAACGCUGGCGGCGUGCUUAACACAUGCAAGUCGAACGGCAAGGCCCUGCUUUUGUGGGGUGCUCGAGUGGCGAACGGGUGCGUAACACGUGAGUAACCUGCCCUUGACUUUGGGAUAACUUCAGGAAACUGGGGCUAAUACCGGAUAGGAGCCCCUGCUGCAUGGUGGGGGUUGGAAAGUUUCGGCGGUUGGGGAUGGACUCGCGGCUUAUCAGCUUGUUGGUGGGGUAGUGGCUUACCAAGGCUUUGACGGGUAGCCGGCCUGAGAGGGUGACCGGCCACAUUGGGACUGAGAUACGGCCCAGACUGCUACGGGAGGCAGCAGUGGGGAAUAUUGCACAAUGGGCGGAAGCCUGAUGCAGCAACGCCGCGUGCGGGAUGACGGCCUUCGGGUUGUAAACCGCUUUCGCCUGUGACGAAGCGUGAGUGACGGUAAUGGGUAAAGAAGCACCGGCUAACUACGUG
rnacentral:rRNA from 1 species